rnacentral:rRNA from 1 species
GAUACCCUGGUAGUCCACGCCGUAAACGGUGGGAACUAGGUGUUGGCGACAUUCCACGUCGUCGGUGCCGCAGCUAACGCAUUAAGUUCCCCGCCUGGGGAGUACGGCCGCAAGGCUAAAACUCAAAGGAAUUGACGGGGGCCCGCACAAGCAGCGGAGCAUGUGGUUUAAUUCGACGCAACGCGAAGAACCUUACCAAGGCUUGACAUACACCGGAAAGCAUUAGAGAUAGUGCCCCCCUUGUGGUCGGUGUACAGGUGGUGCACGGCUGUCGUCAGCUCGUGUCGUGAGAUGUUGGGUUAAGUCCCGCAACGAGCGCAACCCUUGUUCUGUGUUGCCAGCACACCCUUCGGGGUGAUGGGGACUCACAGGAGACCGCCGGGGUCAACUCGGAGGAAG